AAAGAAUGAAUUUUUAAUAGUACUACAGGAUAAAUAAAGAGGUUCCAUAGUUUUUUUUUUUUGAGAGAGAUAGGUGGCAUGCUAACUGUUUCGUUUAUUUCAUUUAAAACUAAAAAAUUUAACUGAAAAUGUGAAUCAAUUUGAAUUCAAAUUUGGAACUUCGAGUACCAACUAUCAAACCUUUUACCACUUGUAUUAGGGACAGUCAAUGGUUCGAUAGUUUUUUUUUCGUAUG
rnacentral:lncRNA from 1 species